ACCAGUGUAGCUCAAUAGGCAGAGCGGGCAGGGCCCUGUAAAAACAGAGAGCAGAGAUUCAGGUUCGAGUCCUGACGCUGGUG
rnacentral:tRNA from 1 species